rnacentral:rRNA from 1 species
GGAUGGCUCCGGGAAACUGGAAAUAAUACCGCAUAAGACCACAGCAUCGCAUGGUGCAGGGGUAAAAACUACGGUGGUGAGAGAAGAGUUCGCGUCUGAUUAGCUAGUUGGUAGGGUAAAGGCCUACCAAGGCGACGAUCAGUAGCCGGCCUGAGAGGGCGGACGGCCACAUUGGAACUGAGAUACGGUCCAAACUCCUACGGGAGGCAGCAGUUGGGAAUAUUGCACAAUGGGGGAAACCCUGAUGCAGCAAUGCCGCGUGAAGGAUGAAGGGCUUCGGCUUGUAAACUUCUAUCGACGGGGAAGAAAAAAAUGACGGUACCCGGGUAAGAAGCCCCGGCUAACUAUGUGCCAGCAGCCGCGGUAAUACAUAGGGGGCAAGCGUUAUCCGGAAUUACUGGGUGUAAAGGGUGCGUAGGCGGUUAUGUAAGUCAGAUGUGAAAACCUUGGGCUCAACUUAAGGAAUGCAUUUGAAACUAUGUAACUAGAGUACAGGAGAGGUAAGUGGAAUUCCUAGUGUAGCGGUAAAAUGCGUAGAUAUUAGGAAGAACACCAGUGGCGAAGGCGACUUACUGGACUGAAACUGACGCUGAGGCACGAAAGCGUGGGGAGCAAACAGGAUUAGAUACCCUGGUAGUCCACGCUGUAAACGAUGAAUGCUAGGUGUUGGGGGCUAAGCCCUCAGUGCCGCAGCUAACGCAAUAAGCAUUCCACCUGGGGAGUACGAUCGCAAGGUUGAAACUCAAAGGAAUUGACGGGGGCCCGCACAAGCGGUGGAGCAUGUGGUUUACGACGCAACGCGAAGAACCUUACCAAAACUUGACAUCCUAAUGAAUACCUUCUAAUAGAGGUAGGCCUUUCGGGGACAUUAGAGACAGGUGGUGCAUGGUUGUCGUCAGCUCGUGUCGUGAGAUGUUGGGUUAAGUCCCGCAACGAGCGCAACCCUUAUCUUUAGUAGCCAUCAUUAAGUUGGGCACUCUAGAGAGACUGCCGUGGAUAACACGGAGGAAGGUGGGGAUGACGUCAAAUCAUCAUGCCCCUUAUGUUUUGGGCUACACACGUGCUACAAUGGCUGUUACAAAGAGACGCGAUAGGGCGACCUUAAGCAAAACUCAAAAAAACAGUCUCAGUUCGGAUUGUAGUCUGCAACUCGACUACAUGAAGCUGGAAUCGCUAGUAAUCUCGGAUCAGAAUGCCGAGGUGAAUACGUUCCCGGGCCUUGUACACACCGCCCGUCACACCACGGGAG